rnacentral:rRNA from 1 species
AUGAACGCUGGCGGCGUGCCUAAUACAUGCAAGUCGCGCGAACAGACGAGGAGCUUGCUCCUCUGACGUUAGCGGCGGACGGGUGAGUAACAUGUGGAUAACCUACCUAUAAGACUGGGAUAACUUCGGGAAACCGGAGCUAAUACCGGAUAAUAUAUUGAACCGCAUGGUUCAAUAGUGAAAGACGGUUUUGCUGUCACUUAUAGAUGGAUCCGCGCCGCAUUAGCUAGUUGGUAAGGUAACGGCUUACCAAGGCAACGAUGCGUAGCCGACCUGAGAGGGUGAUCGGCCACACUGGAACUGAGACACGGUCCAGACUCCUACGGGAGGCAGCAGUAGGGAAUCUUCCGCAAUGGGCGAAAGCCUGACGGAGCAACGCCGCGUGAGUGAUGAAGGUCUUCGGAUCGUAAAACUCUGUUAUUAGGGAAGAACAAAUGUGUAAGUAACUAUGCACGUCUUGACGGUACCUAAUCAGAAAGCCACGGCUAACUACGUG